ensembl:lncRNA
GAGAGAGUGAGUUGGACGAGGCCAUUGUCAUCCAUCUCAGUCACAAAAGGCAGCUGUGGUGACCUUCACUACUGUGACCCCCCAAGGCUGCAGCCUCCCAGACCAGCCUCACCCUCAGCAGGGGAAAGAGAAGAUACCCAGACCUACAAAUCUUUGUGCAGGACAUGAAGGAUUGACACCAGCAAUGCCGCAAGUGACAUCACUCAUGGUGCUGUGGCUGACCUUAAUGCUACUGAAGAAUUCCCUGCCAGGGGCCUUAGCCCCGCUGAUGUAAAGGCUGACAGCAUGGCCCGCCUUCCCUCUGCCAGAGGGGAAGAGACUAAGAAGAACAGGAAGUGGUGCUUCCUACCCAAAAUUGGCAAGAUUCCAAAGAUCAAGAUGAAGAUGGUGAGGCUGCUUCUCUCCAGAGGAGCCAACAUCAACGCUUUUGACAAGAAGGACCGCCGAGCAAUCCACUGAGCUGCUUACAUGGGUGGUGAAACUGCUGGCCUCUCAUGGGUCAGAGGUGUCCUGUAAAGACAAGAAGGCCUACACCCCUCUACACUCUGCAGCCUCCAGUGGCAUGAUCAGUGUGGUUAAGUAACUCCUGGACCUUGGGGUGGAAUUUAUACAUACACCUCCCGCAUUCAACUGUGUAGUCACUGUUCAAUUACAACUCCACGAAAAGACAGAGCUCUAGUGUGGUGGAGAAUGAUUUCCUUUCAAGUAAUGAAGAGAUGGAGGUUUGGCCAGGGGGUUGGGACCAGUGUGUUAGGGCCAGGGGGUUUUCAUAAACAAGUAAUGAAGAGAUGGAGAUUGGAUCCAGAGGGUUGGAGCCCAGUGUGUCGGGACCCAGUGUAUCGGGUCAGGGGCUUUUCCUAACCAAGUGACCUGAUCAGGAAUGUAUUCUCUCUCUCUCUAUCAACAUGUUAAAUGUGCAACCAGAGGAAAAUAAACUCUGGACCACCUUUACUUUAUACACAGAGAUGCAUACAAAGCUCUCCCUCGCCCUCCAUUUGGCAAAUCUGACCAUAAUUCUAUCCUCCGGAUUCCUGCUUACAUGCACCCGUGACUAGAUCAAUAAAAAAAAGUGGUCAGAUGAGGCAGAUGCUAAACUACAGGACUGUUUUGCAAGCACAGACUGGAAUAUGUUCCGGGAUUCUUCCAAUUCUUCCGAGUACACCACCUCCUUUGGUCGCCUUUCCUUCCAGUUCUCGGCUGCCAAUGACUGGAACGAACUGCAAAAAUCACUAAAGCUGGAGACCCAUAUCUCCCUCACUAGCUUUAAGCACCACCUGUCAGAGCAGCUCACAGAUCACUGCACCUCUCCAUAUCCCAUCUGUAAACAGCCCAUCCAACUACCUCAUCCCCAUACUGUAUUUAUUUAUUUAUCUUGCUCCUUUGCACCCCAGUAUCGCUACUUGCACAUUCAUCUUCUGCACAUCUAACCAUUCCAGUGUUUAAUUGUAAUUACUUCGCCACCAUGGCCUAUUUAUUGCCAUAACUCCCUUAUCUUACCACAUUUGCACUCACUGUAUACAGAGAUUUUGUUUUCUUUUUUCUUAUUAUUGACUAUGUUUUGUUUAUUCCAUGUGUAACUCUGUGUUCUUGUAUGUGUCGAAUUGCUAUGCUUUAUCUUGGCCAGGUCGCAGUUGCAAAUGAGAACUUGUUCUCAACUAGCCUACCUGGUUAAAUAAAGGUGAAAUUUAUAUAUAUUUUUAAACAUCAGUCACUAGCUUCAUCAAUAAGUGCAUCGAUGACGUUGUCCCCACAGUGACUAUACGUACAUACCAACCAGAAGUCAUGGAUUACAGGCAACAUGCUGAGCUAAAGGGUAGAGCUGCCGCUUUCAAGGAGCGAGCCUCUAACCUGGAAGCUUAUAAGAAAUCCCGCUAUGCCCUCCGACGAACCAUCAAACAGGCAAAGCAUCAAUACAGGACUAAGAUCCAAUCAUACUACACUGGCUCCGAGACUUGUCGCAUAUGGCAGGGCUUGCAAACUAUUACAGACUACAAAAGGGAAGCACAGCUGAGAGUAGCCCAGUGACAGGCGCCUACCAGACAAGCUAAAUUAUUUAUAUGCUUGCUUCGAGGCAAGUAACACUGAAACAUGCAUGAGAGCACCAGCUGUUCCAGACGACUGUGUGAUCGCGUUCUCCGCAGCCGAUGUGAGUAAGACUGUUAAGGGAAUUUUUAUCAAUAAUGACUAUGUAUACAUUUCAAUCAGGACUGACUAAUCAGAAUACUAUUAUGUUACUGUAUAUGUACUAAUCAGAAUACUAUUAUGUUACUGUAUAUGUAUGAAUUUUCUUUUAAUCCUAGUACUGAAUAUAAUGUGUGUAAAUAUAAUCAAGAAUUAGAACAAUGACUGUCUGUUCCUUGGUAGAAAUGAAUGAACUCUAUUACCCGACUGGCUAGAAUGCUUAUCUACACAGGCUGGCCUUGCCUCUAGACUGAUGUGGGAAGGCUUGAGAACUAUACAGCCUUUCUACCAGUGUCAAGAAGAGAUGGAACAUUUAGAACACGCAGUUUAUAAUCUGUGGUAAAAUGUAUCAUGAGCAGUACUCUUGUGAAUAAACGC